rnacentral:rRNA from 1 species
GACGAACGCUGGCGGCGUGCUUAACACAUGCAAGUCGAACGGUAAGGCCCUUCGGGGUACACGAGUGGCGAACGGGUGAGUAACACGUGGGUGAUCUGGCCUGCACUUCGGGAUAAGCCUGGGAAACUGGGUCUAAUACCGGAUAGGACUCCGGACUGCAUGGUCUGGGGUGGAAAGCUUUUGCGGUGUGGGAUGGGCCCGCGGCCUAUCAGCUUGUUGGUGGGGUGACGGCCUACCAAGGCGACGACGGGUAGCCGGCCUGAGAGGGUGACCGGCCACACUGGGACUGAGAUACGGCCCAGACUCCUACGGGAGGCAGCAGUGGGGAAUAUUGCACAAUGGGCGCAAGCCUGAUGCAGCGACGCCGCGUGAGGGAUGACGGCCUUCGGGUUGUAAACCUCUUUCAGCAUCGACGAAGCGAAAGUGACGGUAGGUGCAGAAUAAGGACCGGCUAACUACGUGCCAGCCGCCGCCGUAA